rnacentral:lncRNA from 1 species
CUCUCCCCUGUCUCUCUCGCGUCUCUCUCUCACUCCUGCUCGCCCCCACCUCCCCUGUUGCCGCUCCCUCUCUCCCCUGGAUGAGCGUCCACUUGCCGGACCUGCUGGCGCCCCUCACGGCCAGGAUCUCGCCCUCCCUCGCCUCGCCCGACACGUCGUCCAGCAGCGCCCUGGUCUGCGCUUCACGGGGCGCCGCGGCGGUCGACACACGGUGCAGCGGCAACAGGCGGAGCCCGUGGCUGGGGGGACGGGCGCAGGAUGAGGCCGAGCGCCAUGGCCGCCAUGGGACAGGCGGUUCUCCCAUCCUCCCCACGUCAACCCGCCGCCGGCCUUCACCGAUGAGCUCGGCACGCAACCAUCUUGUUUAGAACCCAGAUCGCCCAUUGGAACCCAGAUCCUUUUUUUUAAUCUUUGAUCCAUCGACUGAUUUCUUAUGGUUGAUGAUUGAUUAGUUAAUUUGGUACUUCACCGAUGAGGUAUUGUGUUUUGUUGAUCUUGGAUGUUUGGUUUCUUUUUGAAUCUUGUAUUGUGAUCUUGCAAUUUUGUACUGUGAGUACCUUCAUGUACCAUAUGAUUUUUUAAUAUUUGUGGUUUCUUCUUUGAUGAUUGUGCUGUGAUUUUUGAGUACCAUCAUGUACCAUGGGUACACGACUAGGUAUUGUGAUUGUUGUGUGAUGUUUUUGAAAUUGAUGACGUACAUCAUGUGUAUAUUAACAAGGUGCUACAAAUUGACGAUGUACAUUGAGAAGGUGCUUAAUACUUUUGAUCGUAAUUGUAGUGUAAAUGAGUAUUGAUAGGGUAUUUAAAUUGACGAGGUACGUAUAUUUGACGAUAUGUUGCCAUGUACUCACAUGUACCCUGAUGUACUUGCUAUGUACUGACAUGUACCCUGAUGUACUUGCUAUGUACUGACAUGUACCCUGAUGUACUUGCUAUAUACUACUCAUGUACACGAGG